rnacentral:snRNA from 1 species
AUCGCUUCUUGGCCUUUUGGCUAAGAACAUGUGUAGAAUCUGUUCUUACCAGUUUUAAUACGCUGAUAUAUCCUCUAUCUGAGGACAAUACAGUAAAUGGAUUUUUUGAGCAGGGAGAUGGAAUAGGAGCUUGCUCCAUCCACUCCACACAUCCACCUGGUAUUGCAGUACCUCCAGGAAUGGUGUAACCCUC